AGAGUUUGAUCCUGGCUCAGAAUCAACGCUGGCGGCGUGCCUCAGACAUGCAAGUCGAACGAUUAAACUCUCCUUCGGGAGAGAUAUAAAGUGGCGCACGGGUGAGUAACACGUAGGUAAUCUACCUUUGAGUGGGGAAUAACAAUCGGAAACGAUUGCUAAUACCGCAUAAUGCAGCGGCAUCGCAAGAUGACAGUUGUUAAAGGAGCAAUUCGCUUAAAGAGGAGCCUGCGGCAGAUUAGCUAGUUGGUAAGGUAAUGGCUUACCAAGGCUACGAUCUGUAACCGACCUGAGAGGGUGGUCGGUCACACUGACACUGAAUAACGGGUCAGACUCCUACGGGAGGCAGCAGUCGGGAAUUUUGGGCAAUGGGCGAAAGCCUGACCCAGCAACGCCGCGUGAAGGACGAAGUCUUUCGGGAUGUAAACUUCGUAAGAAUAGGAAGAAUAAAUGACGGUACUAUUUGUAAGGUCCGGCUAACUACGUGCCAGCAGCCGCGGUAAUACGUAGGGACCAAGCGUUGUUCGGAUUUACUGGGCGUAAAGGGCGCGUAGGCGGCAAUUCAAGUCAGUUGUGAAAUCUCCGAGCUUAACUCGGAACGGUCAACUGAUACUGCUUUGCUAGAGUACAGAAGGGGCAAUCGGAAUUCUUGGUGUAGCGGUGAAAUGCAGAUAUCAAGAGGAACACCUGAGGUGAAGACGGGUUGCUGGGCUGAUACUGACGCUGAGGCGCGAAAGCUAGGGUAGCAAACGGGAUUAGAUACCCUAGUAGUCC
rnacentral:rRNA from 1 species